rnacentral:rRNA from 1 species
AUCCUGGCUCAGAUUGAACGCUGGCGGUAUGCUUAACACAUGCAAGUCGAACGGUAGCAGGUACUUCGGUAUGCUGACGAGUGGCGGACGGGUGAGUAACGCGUAGGAAUCUACCUAUCUGUGGGGGAUACCAGUUGGAAACGACUGUUAAUACCGCAUAAUAUCUGAGGAUUAAAGGUGGCAACUUGUUGCUGCCGCGGAUGGAUGAGCCUGCGUUAGAUUAGCUUGUUGGUGGGGUAAAGGCCUACCAAGGCUGCGAUCUAUAGCUGAUUUGAGAGGAUGAUCAGCCACAUUGGAACUGAGACACGGUCCAAACUCCUACGGGAGGCAGCAGUGGGGAAUAUUGGACAAUGGGGGAAACCCUGAUCCAGCAAUACCAUGUGUGUGAAGAAGGCUCUAGGGUCGUAAAGCACUUUAGUCAGGGAGGAAGGCCUUGUCGUUAAUAGCGGCAGGGAUUGACGUUACCUGAAGAAUAAGCACCGGCUAACUCCGUGCCAGCAGCCGCGGUAAUACGGGGGGUGCAAGCGUUAAUCGGAAUUACUGGGCGUAAAGGGUUCGUAGGCGGUUUAUUAAGUCAGAUGUGAAAGCCCAGGGCUCAACCUUGGAACUGCAUUUGAUACUGGUAGACUAGAGUAUAGUAGAGGAGUGGGGAAUUUCUGGUGUAGCGGUGAAAUGCGUAGAGAUCAGAAGGAACACCAAUGGCGAAGGCAACACUCUGGACUAAUACUGACGCUGAGGGACGAAAGCGUGGGGAUCAAACAGGAUUAGAUACCCUGGUAGUCCACGCUGUAAACGAUGAGUACUAGCUGUUGGAUUCGGUGUAAAGGAUCUAGUGGCGUAGCUAACGCGGUAAGUACUCCGCCUGGGGACUACGGUCGCAAGACUAAAACUCAAAGGAAUUGACGGGGACCCGCACAAGCGGUGGAGCAUGUGGUUUAAUUCGAUGCAACGCGAAGAACCUUACCUGGUCUUGACAUCCUGCGAACUUUCUAGAAAUAGAUUGGUGCCUUCGGGAACGCAGUGACAGGUGCUGCAUGGCUGUCGUCAGCUCGUGUCGUGAGAUGUUGGGUUAAGUCCCGUAACGAGCGCAACCCUUGUCCUUAGUUGCCAGCACGUAAUGGUGGGAACUCUAAGGAGACUGCCGGUGACAAACCGGAGGAAGGUGGGGACGACGUCAAGUCAUCAUGG